UGCCCGAUCGUCUAAUGGCAGGACAACUGUUUUUGGUGCAGUAUGUCUAGGUUCGAAUCCUAGUCGGGCAG
rnacentral:tRNA from 1 species